UGGAGGUGUGGCGCAAGGCGUGGUGCGCAUGGAGGAGGGCUAGUUCCGAGUCGUGCGACGGUUGGAUGCUGUGCUGGAGGUUGCUGAAGGCAUUGUUGGGGGCGGCGGCUGCUUUUUUUUCUGCUUAGGGUUUCUUUUUUUUUUGGGUAGGGUUUAGUUGGGUAAUAGGCUAAUGGGUUUGUUGGUCUGUUGGACUUUAUUUAUUUUUAGUUUAAAUUUGUUUUUUACUUGGUUUUAUUUGCAUAUGGGCUGGGCAAAUUUUGGGCUUGUAAAACUGCCCGUCUUUGCUCAUUGUCGUGUAACGGGAAUGAAUUAAAGACUUUAACAAGGCCAAAUUUGCCCGGUCUUAUUGAGUCUUAACUUCUAUUGGUG
rnacentral:lncRNA from 1 species